AGUGGCGCACGGGUGCGUAACGCGUGAGCAACCUACCCAUAUCAGGGGGAUAGCCUCUCGAAAGAGAGAUUAACACCGCAUAACAUUGAGGGACGGCAUCGUUUUUCAAUCAAAUAUUUAUAGGAUAUGGAUGGGCUCGCGUGACAUUAGCUAGUUGGAGAGGUAACGGCUCACCAAGGCUACGAUGUCUAGGGGCUCUGAGAGGAGAAUCCCCCACACUGGUACUGAGACACGGACCAGACUCCUACGGGAGGCAGCAGUAAGGAAUAUUGGUCAAUGGAGGGAACUCUGAACCAGCCAUGCCGCGUGCAGGAUGACUGCCCUAUGGGUUGUAAACUGCUUUUGUCAGGGAAUAAACCUUCCUACGUGUAGAAAGCUGAAUGUACCUGAAGAAUAAGGAUCGGCUAACUCCGUGCCAGCAGCCGCGGUAAUACGGAGGAUCCAAGCGUUAUCCGGAUUUAUUGGGUUUAAAGGGUGCGUAGGCGGUCCUAUAAGUCAGUGGUGAAAGACGGCAGCUUAACUGUCGCAGUGCCUUUGAUACUGUAGGACUUGAAUCUAUUUGAAGUGGGCGGAAUAAGACAAGUAGCGGUGAAAUGCAUAGAUAUGUCUUAGAACUCCGAUUGCGAAGGCAGCUCACUAAGUUAGUAUUGACGCUGAUGCACGAAAGCGUGGGGAUCAAACAGGAUUAGA
rnacentral:rRNA from 1 species